GCAUCUCUUCCUGGCAGAAUUUUGAUGAGGUUUCCUUUUUUAUAAUGUCAUAUUCCCAUAUAUGAACUUAAAACAUGACAAUUUCUAGAGUUUUUGUUUGAUACUUUAGUUUGUCUUAUACAAGACAUAGUAAUUAUCUAAAUAAUAAUAUAUCAAAUUGGCCUUUACCCAAUGUUUCUGCAACAAAUCCAUUUGAUUUUCAAUAUUUGAUUUUUACUUAUAAAAUGAAUUAAAGUCGUGUUUGGAUGGUUUGAGCUUUUAUGAAUUGAGUCACAAGAGCCACUUGCAUGAGAUAGAGCCCACCUGGAAGUGAUUCUCACAUGAAUAUGUUUCUGUUUUAUGGAAAGAUAUUUUGAACGGUGUAAAGUUUAACAGUACCUUCUGAAUAUGUUUCAGGUUUGUGGAAAUUAUGGCUCCUAUCUUUUCUCGAAAAGCUUGGCGGUGUGUAUGGAACAUGAUUCAGGUAUAUUGAGAUGAUUUCAUUGGAGCAAUUCUUGACAACAUUUGUAGUUGAGGCCUUUAGAAUGGAAGAAUGUAUUUCACUAAUUUUUGUGUACAUUUCAUGUUUUUUAUUUAGUGAUAAAGGAAUCUAAAUUGGGCAUAAAUUAUGUUGUAAUAUGAUUUCUUAAGCCUAGACUAGUAGACUAAAUAUUGUAAUUACAUUUUGAGUAAUUAAUAAAAAUUUAUUUAUGUUACCUUA